rnacentral:rRNA from 1 species
GAUGAACGCUGGCGGCGUGCCUAAUACAUGCAAGUCGAGCGAACGGACGAGAAGCUUGCUUCUCUGAUGUUAGCGGCGGACGGGUGAGUAACACGUGGAUAACCUACCUAUAAGACUGGGAUAACUUCGGGAAACCGUAGCUAAUACCGGAUAAUAUUUUGAACCGCAUGGUUCAAAAGUGAAAGACGGUCUUGCUGUCACUUAUAGAUGGAUCCGCGCUGCAUUAGCUAGUUGGUAAGUUAACGGCUUACCAAGGCAACGAUGCAUAGCCGACCUGAGAGGGUGAUCGCCCACACUGGAACUGAGACGCGCUCCAGACUCCUACGGGAGGCAGCAGUCGGGAAUGUUCCGCAAUGGGCGAAAGCAUGACGGAGCGACGCCGCGUGAGUGAUGAAGGUCUUCGGAUCGUAAAACUCUGUUAUUAGGGAAGAACAUAUGUGUAAGUAACUGUGCACAUCUUGACGGUACCUAAUCAGAAAGCCACGGCUAACUACGUG